AGUAAUCCAACGUGAUCGCAAUUGUGUGGAGAACAAAGUGACACGUAUAAUACGGCAGGAAAAUUUAUAGAGCAGGACUGUGCAUUUAACUAAUUAAUAUUUAGUAUCGAUCAAAUUAGCUUUUUUCUUGGUGGCGCGCUGAAAGCCUACGUUUAGCUGUAGGAGCGUGAAAUUUAUAUUAUUCUCAUUUUCGAGACAGGAUCGGUGUAAUAGAGGUGACGCGGGUUCAACAGACAGGAAUUCGAACCUCGUCACAAAUAGAAGUUGUGCAAAUUAUAAAACAACUAGAUUUGCUAGAAGGAUCAGUUGCAAUUCGUCUCACUUACCUGCUCGAUACGAUAGAUAGGCAUUGAUAGAUUGAUUCGGAUAGCGUGAUACUAGGGGAAGACUUAAUCUUUGAGCUGCUGCACUGUGCGUAAGGCUGCUUCAAGGGACUCCCAUUGUCCGAACAAUCUCCCCAACAGAAGC